rnacentral:lncRNA from 1 species
AGAAUUUUCUUCUCAAAGUUCUGCACUAAGCAGAAUUCUACUUGACUUUCAAAUUUUACUAAAAUACAAUGUCUCCUGUGAAGACUUCCUUGGCUGCUCUUUUCUUGCUCUCCUCCCUCCCUAUUGUCUAAGAAGAAUACUGCAAGCUCCGCCUCCUGAGUUCACGCCAUUCUCCUGCCUCAGCCUCCCGAGUAGCUGGGACUACAGGCGCCCGCCACCACGCCCGGCUAAUUUUUUGUAUUUUUAGUAUUUUUAGUAGAGACGGGAUUUCACCGUGUUUUAGCCAUGAUGGUCUGGAUUUCCUGACCUCGUGAUCCGCCCUCCUCGGCCUCCCAAAAUGCUGGGAUUAC